UACGAAGGGGGCUAGCGUUGCUCGGAAUUAUUGGGCGUAAAGAGCUCGUAGGCGGUUUGUCGCGUCUGCUGUGAAAACUCGGGGCUUAACCCCGGGCCUGCAGUGGGUACGGGCAGACUAGAGUGCGGUAGGGGAGACUGGAAUUCCUGGUGUAGCGGUGAAAUGCGCAGAUAUCAGGAGGAACACCGGUGGCGAAGGCGGGUCUCUGGGCCGUAACUGACGCUGAGGAGCGAAAGCGUGGGGAGCGAACGGG
rnacentral:rRNA from 1 species